UGGGGAAUUUUGGACAAUGGGCGAAAGCCUGAUCCAGCAAUGCCGCGUGUGUGAAGAAGGCCUUCGGGUUGUAAAGCACUUUUGUCCGGAAAGAAAUCCUUGGCUCUAAUACAGUCGGGGGAUGACGGUACCGGAAGAAUAAGCACCGGCUAACUACGUGCCAGCAGCCGCGGUAAUACGUAGGGUGCAAGCGUUAAUCGGAAUUACUGGGCGUAAAGCGUGCGCAGGCGGUUUGCUAAGACCAAUGUGAAAUCCCCGGGCUCAACCUGGGAACUGCAUUGGUGACUGGCAGGCUAGAGUAUGGCAGAGGGGGGUAAAUUCCACGUGUAGCAGUGAAAUGCGUAGAGAUGUGGAGGAAUACCGAUGGCGAAGGCAGCCCCCUGGGCCAAUACUGACGCUCAUGCACGAAAAGCGUGGGGAGCAAACAGGAUUAGAUACCCUGGUAGUCCACGCCCUAAACGAUGUCAACUAGUUGUGGGGAUUCAUUUCCUUAGUAACGUAGCUAACGCGUGAAGUUGACCGCCUGGGGAGUACGGUCG
rnacentral:rRNA from 1 species